UUUUCAUAGUGCUGAUCCGUUUCGGGGUGCUGAGCCGGGGUCAGCGUCGUCGUUCGUCGUCGUCUGGUCGAUAUCUUCCUUCGGGGGGAAGUCGAAGGCGGAUGCUCGGGCGGCGAUGCGCUCCUACCUCUCCCCUCGAUUUACCACCUCUACAUGUGGACGGCGCAAGCCCGGGGCCCGCAAUACGUUCCUCUCCGCCUCUAAGGCCCCACCCGGUGUUCUCGAAGCGAGUUUUCCUUCAUAGCUGGCGGAGUAGCGAGGGGCUCUGCCGCGACUGUAGCCCGGCGAAGCUGCUGUGUAUUGGCCCGCUGCUGCCUCCGCCGCCGUACACCAACGUCGGAUAGGCACGUGAUUAUUGCGCUCCCGUGCCCAUUCGUCGUGGUUGCUGUAGUGGUGGUGGUGGUAGUAUGCAGCGCAGUGGCUACCGUCGUGUUGUAAGUCGCGGUUAUCCUCUCACCCCUGCUCCGUCGGUAUAGUGUUGAAAAGGGGAGCUCGCCCGAGGCGUCGGAUCGCUGGCGCGAGACGGACGGCGGGUACCUUGAGCGCACAUUCUAGGACCCGAAAGAUGGUGAUCUAUGCGUGGCGAGGAUGAAGCCAGGGGAAACCCUGGUGGAAGUCCGUCGCGAUUCUGACGUGCAAAUC
rnacentral:rRNA from 1 species